rnacentral:rRNA from 1 species
GACGAACGCUGGCGGCGUGCUUAACACAUGCAAGUCGAACGGAAAGGCCCUGCUUUUGUGGGGUGCUCGAGUGGCGAACGGGUGAGUAACACGUGAGUAACCUGCCCUUGACUUUGGGAUAACUUCAGGAAACUGGGGCUAAUACCGGAUAGGAGCUCCUGCUGCAUGGUGGGGGUUGGAAAGUUUCGGCGGUUGGGGAUGGACUCGCGGCUUAUCAGCUUGUUGGUGGGGUAGUGGCUUACCAAGGCUUUGACGGGUAGCCGGCCUGCGAGGGUGACCGGCGACAUUGGGACUGAGAUACGGACCAAACUACUACCGGAAGCAGACGUGGCGAAUAUUGCACAAUGGGCGGAAGCCUGAUGCAGCAACGCCGCGCGGGGGAUGACGUGCUUAGGGUUGUAAACCGCUUUCGACUGUGACGAAGCGUAAGUGACGGUAAUCGGUAAAGCAGCACCGGCUAACUACGUA